rnacentral:rRNA from 1 species
UAAAUAACAAUGUAGGGCCCUCUGGGUUUUACAAUUGGAAUGAGAAGAAUUUAAAUCUGUUUACGAGUAACAAUUGGAGGCAAGUCUGGUGCCAGCAGCCGCGGUAAUUCCAGCUCCAAUAGCGUAUAUUAAAGUUGUUGCAGUUAAAAAGCUCGUAGUUGAAGGAAUAGUGAUGGUAAUGUGGUAGAGCUAUUAAGCUUUGACUGCAUUGCUGCGCUUUUUUGGUCAGCGGGAGGUUCUCUGAACCUACUACGCCGAUAGUUACUGUGAAGAAAUUAGAGUGUUUAAAGCAAGCAGGAUUAGCUUGAAUAAAUCAGCAUGGAAUAACAAUAUAGGACUUUAUUCUAUUUUGUUGGCUUUUAAGGAUAAAGUAAUGAUUAAUAGGGUCAGUUGGGGCAUUAGUAUUUAAUAGUCAGAGGUGAAAUUCUUGGAUUUAUUAAAGACUAACUAGUGCGAAAGCAUUUGCCAAGGAUGUUUUCAUUAAUCAAGAACGAAAGUUAGGGGAUCGAAGACGAUCAGAUACCGUCGUAGUCUUAACCAUAAACGAUGCCGACUAGGGAUUGGCAGAUAUCGUUAGAGAUUCUGUCAGGACCUUUAGAGAAAUCAAAGUUUUUGGUUCUGGGGGAGUAUAGUCGCAAGGCUGAAACUUAAAGGAAUUGACGGAAGGGCACCACCAGGAGUGGAGCCUGCGGCUUAAUUUGACUCAACACGGGAAAACUCACCAGGUCCGGACAUGAUAAGGAUUGACAGAUUGAGAGCGCUUUCAUGAUUUUAUGGGUGGUGGUGCAUGGCCGUUCUUAGUUGGUGGAGUGAUUUGUCUGGUUAAUUCCGAUAACGAACGAGACCUCUACCUGCUUGUUAGUGAUUUGUUAGAGAGAUCUAGCAGUGACUUCUUAGAGGGACUAACCAUGUUUAAUGGUUGGAAGUUUGAGGCAAUAACAGGUCUGUGAUGCCCUUAGAUGUUCUGGGCUGCACGCGCGCUACACUGACAAAGACAGCAAGUGAUGAGACCUUGACCGAGAGGUUUGGGUAAUCUUUUGAAACUUUGUCGUGCUGGGGAUAGAUCAUUGCAAUUAUUGAUCUUGAACGAGGAAUUCCUAGUAAACGCAAGUCAUCAGCUUGCAUUGAUUACGUCCCUGCCCUUUGUACACACCGCCGUCGCUACUACCGAUUGAAUGGCUUAGUGAGGC